CUAGCUCUCCCGUCAGCUCCGUUCUCUUUAUACAUCCAUGGUCGUAUCCGCUGUUUUCCGCUUUUUCGUUACAGCACACUGCGGCCGACUGUGGUUUGAUUUGGUUGACGGAUACAGAACGGAUAUGGCGUCACGGUACUCUGACUACAGUACAA